UACGUAGGGUGCGAGCGUUGUUCGGAUUCACUGGGCGUAAAGGGUGCGUAGGUGGCUACUUUAAGUUUGAUGUGAAAGCUCCGGGCUCAACCCGGAAAUGGCAUUGAAGACUAUUGAGCUAGAGGUUUGGAGGGGGGACUGGAAUGCUUGGUGUAGCAGUGAAAUGCGUAGAUAUCAAGCGGAACACCGGUGGCGAAGGCGAGUCCCUGGACAACACCUGACACUGAGGCACGAAAGCUAGGGGAGCAAACAGG
rnacentral:rRNA from 1 species